rnacentral:rRNA from 1 species
AAGGGCACCACAAGAACGCGUGGAGCAUGUGGCUUAAUUUGACUCAACCCGGGAAAUCUUACCAGGUCCAGACAUAUUGAGGAUUGACAGGCGAUAGUAUAUAAAAUAUAUUUUUAUAUGCAUAAAAAUGAUAGUCCUUUCAUGAUUAUAUGAUAGGUGGUGCAUGGCCGUUCUUAGUUCGUGGAGUGAUUUGUCUGCUUAAUUGCGUUUCAGUAAAUAAAAUAUAUAAUAUAUUAUAAUAUUUAGUUCUGCCUUUAUGGAUUUAAAGUGAACAUAUUAUAUAUAUUAUUAUAUAAUAAAUGAAUGCAACGAACGUGACCGUAACCUUUUAUUGCUAUUGUAAUUAUAAUUAUAGCAUAAAAUUAAAGGAACCGCUGUCAUUACUAAAUAUGUGUUAAAAUAGAGUAAGAUUAUGGCAAUAACAGGUCUGUGAUGCCCUCAGAUGUUCUGGGCUGCACACGUGCUACAAUAAUUACAUUAAUAAGUAUAUAUACUUUAUAAUAUAUAAUAUUAUAUUUAACCUAUUUCGAAAGUAAAUCGGUAAUCAUUUAAAAAUCGUGAUUAAUUAAUAUAAAUAUAAUUAAUUUAAGGUGGGGAUAGUGUAUUGUUAAUUAUUACACUUGGCCUUAACUAGGAAUGCCUUGUACUCUUCUUUGGUUUAACAUACCAAGAGGAAUACGUCCCUGCCCUUUGUACACACCGCCCGUCGCUCUUACCGAUGAAUUAUAUUAUAAAUCUAAGGGAUUUAUUAUAAUUAAAAUAUAAAAAACUUAUAUACAUAAUGUGAUUUAAAGGAAAGAGAAGUCGUAACAAGGCAUCAGUAGGUGAACCU